rnacentral:rRNA from 1 species
AUACGGAGGGUGCAAGCGUUAUUCGGAAUCACUGGGCGUAAAGGACGCGUAGGCGGGUUGGCAAGUCAGAUGUGAAAUCCUACAGCUUAACUGUAGAACUGCAUUUGAAACUGCUAACCUAGAGUAUGGGAGGGGGAGAUGGAAUUAGUGGUGUAGGGGUAAAAUCCGUAGAUAUCACUAGGAAUACCGAAAGCGAAGGCGAUCUCCUGGAACAUAACUGACGCUAAGGCGUGAAAGCGUGGGGAGCGAACAGGAUUAGAAACCCCAGUAGUCC